AACUGCCUUUCUCCAAAAUGCGUGUUUAAGCCAAAUAGGACCCACCAUUGGCAGUUAACAUAAAUGUAUAAAUCAUAGCAACCCCAACUAGAGAACCCUAAGACUUCUAAUGUCAACCUAACACCAGAGCAUUACAGGAAAGAUUAAAAGAGGAAGAAGGAACUCGGCAAAUCAUAGUCCCGCCUGUUUACCAAAAACAUCGCCUCCUGACAAAUAUAGGAGGUCCAGCCUGCCCAGUGACAAAGUUCAACGGCCGCGGUACCCUAACCGUGCGAAGGUAGCAUAAUCACUUGUUCUUUAAAUGAGGACUAGUAUCAACGGCACCACGAGGACUCUACUGUCUCCUCCCUCCAAUCAGUGAAACUGAUCCCCCCGUGAAGAAGCGGGGAUUAUUCUAUAAGACGAGAAGACCCCAUGGAGCUUUAAACCCAAUAGGCAUCUCUGCAAACUUAAACCACCUUAGCCUUAGAGAUAUGCACUAUUAGUUUUAGGCUGGGGUGACCGCGGAGUAAAACUAAACCUCCACGACAAACGGGCUAACGCCCUGAUCUACGAACCACACUUCUAAGAACCAAUAUAUUGUUGUCCAAUGACCCAAUUAUAUGAUCAACGAACCAAGUUACCCUGGGGAUAACAGCGCAAUCUACUUCAAGAGCCCCUAUCGACAAGUAGGUUUACGACCUCGAUGUUGG
rnacentral:rRNA from 1 species